GACCUUUACGCCAAACUCCGGCGCGCCGCGAGACUCGCGUCCUCGCUGUCCCCGAGGGGCCCCACCCCUUCCCGGUUCUAACCUGCGACCUGGCCAGAGGCAAGGUGAAUGGGAAGAUGGAGAUGGAUGUUGAGGGAGUUUCUCCGCGCCCGGAGCCCAUCCCCCGCUCCCAGGGGGCUGGCGGAGCCUGCCAGGCGCCGCCACAGCCGCCCCAGCCCCAGCCGCCGCCUCAGCAGCUGGCUCAGGAUGAACUGCCCGGCGAGAGUGCAGGCGCUGAGGACAGCGACGAUCCCGAGACGAGACCCAACGGCGAGAAAGGAGAGAGCAAGGUAGGUCCACAGUGUUGGCGCUGUGAUACCUUUUGAACAAAACCAAGGAGUUGCUGUCGUGGCUGUCACUUUAACCCCUCCGCUCCCCAACCCCCUUCCCUGGUUUGUGUGGGGGUGGGGGUGGCAGAUGUGAAGAAGGCUUAAGAUUUAAGGGAAUCCAUGGGCGAUAGUGACUUUCCGAACUGGAGGGUAUGUGCAGAAGUCUGUCCUGGUUUCAGUGUUCAGCGGUGUGUGCAGAGAAAAGUCGUCUGGUACAUGCGGUGUGAUGCUCUGGGCAAGCACAGCACCUCAGUAGAGCAGUGAUGAGACCUUUGCUUGCCCUCGCAGUCUAACUGAGGCUUAUUUGGAUGAUAUGGGUCUAAGAGAAACAUUUCUUUAGGAGCUGCCAAGUGGCUUCUGAGACUCCUUGGAGGGUGGUGACAUCAACCUAAAGAUAACAAUGGGAGCAAAGUUUGGCUCAUUUGCAGAAUGGAGUGCCCUGCUUAACCCCGCUCUAAGCUGGAGGUCCUCCUCCUGACCUGGCAUCCUCCUUCUAGGAGGGCAGGGAUCAAGUGCCUGGCAGCAGAUGAGCCCUACAAAUCUUUUGCAGCCCUGCUGUGUCAUUGUAGACCGGGGGAUAGCUGCUACUUGCUGUGGAAAGAGGAGUUCUUCAGUAUUUCAGUGACAUCAUCCACUCAGGAGAGUUGGGGCGAGGCUGGCUGAGGUUCUCAAGGAGCUGAGUUUUGAGUUCAGGUGCUCGUGUAGCAGUGGAAUGAUGCCUCCUGACCUUUCAGACCUUUGAGACCUCUGGGCGGUCUUAGAAAUCACUUCAAGCCUCCAGUCCAGGAUACGACUGCCUAGGGGAAUUCCAGGGAAAGGUGGCAGAGAUGCCAUGGACUACAAGGUGAUGAAUACCACUAUGAGCUCACUACAAGAUCUCAAAGAUUUCAAGCCACUGGCUGUUACAAAGCAUAAAGCCACCCUUCUGGAGCAGCGGCGGGAGGCAGGCUGGGAGGAGGCCCCAAGUUUUGGCCAGACGAUAGACCACCUCCUUAGGUGUCCGGGGAGCUGCUGAAACAUAAUGAGGAAGAUGCUGCUGAUCCAAAGGAUAAAAACACAGAAACUAGAACCAAGAAGCACCUAAAGUGGACUCAUGCCCAGCAUCCCUGCAGACUGACUUUCUCUGAGCUAUAGUUCUGCAUUGGACUGUUUUUCCUUUGCUAUCACCUGCCCAACACACAAUCCUGGAUGCUUUUGAUUGGUUGGAUUUCUUUUUUUUUUUUCCUGCCUUUUCUUUUUCUUUCCUUGACCCUGGGAAUUAUAAACGAGAAAUUGCUUUAAAAAGUAUUGUUCUGUGCUAAAAUUAGCCUUGUUUAUGAACAAGUUUUAUCCCUAGGGAUUUCCUGAAUUGCAAUCCCAGAUUACCUUGUAAAUGGGGCUGUGUUGUUUGAUUUGUAUAGUACUGAUCUGUAGGUUAAAAUACGUUUCCUUUCUUUUGUUUCAUUCUUUUUUUAAAAGUCUGGAUCCAGGUAAUGGCCUGAGUCACAUUUGCUUAGCUACUGAAGCGAUCUCAAUAUGUUAUCGCUUAGAGUUGAAACAUAAUCAAACAUACGUUAUACCUGGGGCUCUUGCACACUAUUUGAUAUAUAUAUGUUACUCUACAAAGAAACACAAACCUUGUAUGUUGAAAUGUAAUUCCUGUUUGAUCCUGCAGCUAGAAUGCUAAAGAAAUUGCAAAUAUCAAAAGUGACUUCAAAUACCCUGAAUAUAAGCUAGUCAACAGUAAGUGGAUGGUUCCAGAAUACCAUAUUCUAAGACAAAGCAGGAAUUAGAGAUCAACUGACCUCAUCCAUAAUGUUGCUCAGGUCUGUCUGUGGAUCUGUCCAUUUUGGAGUAAAAAACAAGGCAUGCUUCUGUGAUUGUGUUUAUGAAAACUGUAGUAUUUCAGAUUUAUGUUUUGCAAUUGUGCCUGCCUUGCAAUAAAACACCUUCAGUUGACUCAGCAAUAAGGUCUCUGUCAAUUUCCUGCAAAACUGUGUCCUUAUUGGCUUUCUAAAAAAGUCCAGUGUAGACCUAUCAGUGGUGACCUGCUAGACAUUUCAGCUGGAUCUAGCAUUAUUGCUCUUUCAGAAAUAGCACUAGAGCUGUCCAUUGUCUACACAUGGGGUCAGAGUUGUAUGGUCAGAUUCUCAAUUCUUCAUAUUACCAUCAGCUACAGAAAUCUCUAGUCACAGCCUAACCCUGUUACAUAUAUGUGCUGCCAUCUGCCAUUGUGUUCUAACUCUGGAGUCCCUAUUUAUUUCUGAGAUUUUAGGACAAGACAAAAAUCCUCUGGACCUCAGUGUCCUCAUAUACAAAAUGGGAAUAAUGAUACUUCCUAUGAUUGUGGUGAUAAGUGCCUGUAAAAGGACAUCACAUGGAUGGUACUUUGCACGUUGUAAAUUCAUUGGGAUGUGGCAAUGUUCAAUAAAUGGUGGUUAUUUUAUUUGUUAAUAAAGAAUUGAAUGAAUUUCUAAA
rnacentral:lncRNA from 1 species